rnacentral:rRNA from 1 species
CCUACGGGAGGCAGCAGUGGGGAAUAUUGCACAAUGGGGGGAACCCUGAUGCAGCAACGCCGCGUGGGUGAAGAAGUAUUUCGGUAUGUAAAGCCCUAUCAGCAGGGAAGAAGAUGACGGUACCUGACUAAGAAGCCCCGGCUAAAUACGUGCCAGCAGCCGCGGUAAUACGUAUGGGGCAAGCGUUAUCCGGAUUUACUGGGUGUAAAGGGAGCGCAGGCGGCGCGGCAAGUCAGAUGUGAAAGCCCGGGGCUCAACCCCGGGACUGCAUUUGAAACUGCCGUGCUGGAGUGUCGGAGAGGCAAGUGGAAUUCCUAGUGUAGCGGUGAAAUGCGUAGAUAUUAGGAGGAACACCAGUGGCGAAGGCGGCUUGCUGGACGAUAACUGACGCUGAGGCUCGAAAGCGUGGGGAGCAAACAGGAUUAGAUACCCGAGUAG